rnacentral:rRNA from 1 species
UUACCUCCUUGACAUGUUAGAGAUCUCUUCGGACACAGGUGCUGCAUGGCUGUCGUCAGCUCGUGUCGUGAGAUGUUGGGUUAAGUCCCGCAACGAGCGCAACCCCGUCUUAGUUGCCAUCAUAUGGGACUCUAGGAGACUGCCGGUGAUAACCGGAGGAAGGUGUGGAUGACGUCAAGUCCUCAUGGCCCUUACGGAGGGCUACACACGUGCUACAAUGGGUGACAUGGGGCACCGCGAGGUGAGCAAUCCCCAAAGCGUCUCAGUUCGGAUUGCACUCUGCAACUCGGGUGCAUGAAGGCGGAAUCGCUAGUAAUCGUGAUCAGCAUGCACGGUGAAUACGUUCCCGGGCCUUGUACACACCGCCCGUCACACCAUGGGAGUUGGCUACCGAC